GAAAAUCUCUGUCAAGAGCUCUCACGCCUAUACGUUGCGAGAUAUCUGUCACAAGGAGAGUACCGGACUGAGGUACGCCAUUUGAAUUAAAUAGUCAGAUCUAAGAUGCAGCAUUGGCACUAUUGCACAAUCGCGAAAGCUGAUGCAGCACCGCCGCUGAUGACGACGACUCGGCUGUAACUCUUUAGCAGGGAGAGCGAAAGUGACGUACUGCAGAAAAGCACGACUAACUACGUGCCAGCAGCCGCGUAAUACGUAGGGUGCAAGCGUGUCUGAAUAUGGGCGUAGAGAGCUCGUAGGCGGUUUGUCGCGUCUGCUGUGAAAUCCCGAGGCUCAGCCUCGGGUCUGCAGUGGGUACGGGCAGACUAGAGUGCGGUAGGGGAGAUUGGAAUUCCUGGUGUAGCGGUGGAAUGCGCAGAUAUCAGGAGGAACACCGAUGGCGAAGGCAGAUCUCUGGGCCGCUACUGACGCUGAGGAGCGAAAGGGUGGGGAGCAAACAGGCUUAGAUACCCUGGUAGUCCACCCCGUAAACGUUGGGCGCUAGAUGUGGGGACCAUUCCACGGUCUCCGUGUCGUAGCUAACGCAUUAAGCGCCCCGCCUGGGGAGUACGGCCGCAAGGCUAAAACUCAAAGGAAUUGACGGGGGCCCGCACAAGCGGCGGAGCAUGCGGAUUAAUUCGAUGCAACGCGAAGAACCUUACCAAGGCUUGACAUAUACGAGAACGGGCCAGAAAUGGUCAACUCUUUGGACACUCGUAAACAGGUGGUGCAUGGUUGUCGUCAGCUCGUGUCGUGAGAUGUUGGGUUAAGUCCCGCAACGAGCGCAACCCUCGUUCUAUGUUGCCAGCACGUAAUGGUGGGAACUCAUGGGAUACUGCCGGGGUCAACUCGGAGGAAGGUGGGGACGACGUCAAAUCAUCAUGCCCCUUAUGUCUUGGGCUUCACGCAUGCUACAAUGGCCAGUACAAAGGGCUGCAAUACCGUAAGGUGGAGCGAAUCCCAAAAAGCUGGUCCCAGUUCGGAUUGAGGUCUGCAACUCGACCUCAUGAAGUCGGAGUCGCUAGUAAUCGCAGAUCAGCAACGCUGCGGUGAAUACGUUCCCGGGCCUUGUACACACCGCCCGUCAAGUCAUGAAAGUCGGUAACACCCGAAGCCAGUGGCCUAACCGCAAGGAUGGAGCUGUCUAAGGUGAUCCGUUUUGUUC
rnacentral:rRNA from 1 species